UACCUGACACUGUGGAGACGGAGG
rnacentral:piRNA from 1 species